rnacentral:rRNA from 1 species
CAUGCAGGUGGCUGAGUAAGUCGAAUGUGAAACGCCCCGGGCUCAACUCGGGAACUGCAUCCGAAACUACUUGGCUAGAGUCCCGGAGAGGAAGGCAGAAUUCCCAAUGUAGGGGUGAAAUCCGUAGAUAUUGGGAGGAAUACCAGUGGCGAAGGCGGCCUUCUGGACGGUGACUGACACUCAGAUGCGAAAGCGUGGGGAGCAAACA